UACGUAGGAUCCAAGCGUUGUUCGGAAUCACUGGGCUUAAAGGGCGCGUAGGCGGCAGAUCAAGUCAGGGGUGAAAUCCGGCAGCUCAACUGUCGAAGUGCCUUUGAUACUGAUUUGCUCGAGGGAUAUAGGGGUCUGUGGAACUUCUGGUGGAGCGGUGAAAUGCGUUGAUAUCAGAAGGAACGCCGGUGGCGAAAGCGACGGACUGGAUAUCUUCUGACGCUGGAGGCGACGAAAGCUAGGGGAGCAAACGGG
rnacentral:rRNA from 1 species